CAGCCACCGCCUGCAGCUGGUUGUCCUCUGGGCUUGCUGACUGCUCUGCGACCACGUACAGAGAGGACCCCUGUCUGCUGGCCUGUCCUCCUCAGAGGCGGAUGCUGAAGUUGGGCCCAAUGAAGAGUGUGGGGGUGAGGGCACCAGGGGUGCUACUCCUCCCCGCGGCUGGAGCCAGAGGACAGAUGCCCCUCCUCUGUGAACCCAGGAGCAAAAUCCUGGGUGCACCCCACAACCCCCUCCAAAGGCCCUGACUGCAUGGAGCCCAGUCCCCCAGCAGGGACUUUGUCCCCUCUCUCUUCCCAUCCAAAAUCCCAGGGACCACUCCCUGCCCACCGGCCCUUACCUCCCUCUCCGUGUUGCUGGGAACCCAGGCUUCAUCUCUGAGCCAGGGGGCUGCCCCUGAAGAGGACUCGGCAGCCCCCCUUCCAUGGUGGUGCUGGCUCCCCAUGAGCUCAGCAGGGUCAGAGCUUGAUGGAGCUUCCACACGACUCGCUGAGGAGGCAGCUCAGAAAGGAACACAACUCGGCUGGAGCUUUUGCAUCCUUGCCUCCACACGAGGCAGGAGUCUGGCAGAAAGAGCAGUGCUGAGGAGUUAGAAGUUCCAGGCGGGUAACUCUAAAGCUACCACGUGAACCUGUCUAACCAUAAAUACAAUUUGACAAACUAUUUCCAAGCAGCCAGUAACACGAGAAGGGAGGCAGCCCUCGCUUCUCAUCUCAGUGAGCCUCAUGCAUCCUUUCAACAUCCCCGCAGAGCCCAGGGAAAUGGUAUGAUUUUGCUUAGAUUUCAGACAAUAAAAACCGAUCAUCCACCUGGGCACCGGUUUUCAGACUCGCCUCCUUUCUUUGCUGCUUAGAAGAGUCACAGCCGUUCUGAGAUGGAUGGUGCCGGUCCAGGACAAAGAACCCCAGAACCUGCAACUGGUGUCCACGAUGUCGUUUGUACCAAGAGAUUGAUGGGGACUCGGUUUCUCAUUAUAAGGCCACUGAACUGAAUGAGGGAGGGGCAUCAUCAGGGGAAAGAGAUGAAGGUUGUGAGCAACAAGGAGCCAUUAGCUGUGUCUGGAGAAGUCAGCUAUUUUUACCUACUGGAGUGAAAAACAGUUUUCUCUCUUGAUAUCUGUAUGUGAUAUUUUGUGAAAAAAAUAAAAUCACUUCUUUUAAUCAUUUGCCUAAAG
ensembl:lncRNA